AGUAUUUAGUCUAAAUAAGACUUCUGAUUUCGACUCAGUAAAUUUCGGUUUAACCCUGAAAAUACUUU
rnacentral:tRNA from 1 species